GGAUGGGACUUUAUCUGGCUGCAACAUCUGUCACUCCAUUGAUGAAUGAGUAAUGGACUGAGUAAUGAUGACUGGUGUCCCCUUCUUCCCCCACUCCUCCAUGUGUGUCCUUCAGGCAGCUUGGCACUCUGUUGAAGGCAUGCUCUUCUGCAAUACUGGGAGACCCUACUGUAGGGGAAG
rnacentral:snRNA from 1 species